rnacentral:rRNA from 1 species
AGGAUAAACGCUGGCGGCGUGCCUAACACAUGCAAGUCGAACGCCCUUUAGCUUCGCAAGGAGUGGGAGGGAGUGGCGGACGGGUGAGGAACACGUGGGUGACCUACCUUUCAGUGAGGAAUACCGGCGAGAAAUCGCCGACAAGACCGCAUACGCUUCUCUAUUCGCAGAGGGAAGGAAAGCUUCACGAGAGUGAGGCGCUGGAAGAUGGGCCUGCGGCCGAUUAGCUAGCUGGUGGGGUAACGGCCUACCAGGGCGACGAUCGGUAGCUGGUCUGAGAGGACGAUCAGCCACACUGGGAUUGAGAACGGCCCAGACUCCUACGGGGGGCAGCAGUGAGGAAUUUUCGUCAAUGGGGGCAACCCUGAACGAGCAACGCCGCGUGCAGGAAGAAGGUUUUCGGAUCGUAAACUGCUUUUCUCGGGGAAGAGAACGGACGGUACCCGAGGAAUCAGCCCCGGCUAACUACGUGCCAGCAGCCGC